UACGGGGGGUGCAAGCGUUGUUCGGAAUUAUUGGGCGUAAAGAGCGUGUAGGCGGCUGAAUAAGUCAGAUGUGAAAUCCCCGGGCUUAACCCUGGAAGUGCAUUUGAAACUAUUCGGCUUGAGUAAGGGAGAGGAAAGUGGAAUUCCUGGUGUAGAGGUGAAAUUCGUAGAUAUCAGGAGGAACACCGGUGGCGAAGGCGACUUUCUGGCCCUAUACUGACGCUGAGACGCGAGAGCGUGGGUAGCAAACAGG
rnacentral:rRNA from 1 species